UACAGAGGUCUCAAGCGUUGUUCGGAUUCAUUGGGCGUAAAGGGUGCGUAGGUGGCGGGGUAAGUCAGGUGUGAAAUCUCGAGGCUCAACCUCGAAACUGCACUUGAUACUGCCUUGCUUGAGUACUGGAGAGGAGAUUGGAAUUUACGGUGUAGCAGUGAAAUGCGUAGAUAUCGUAAGGAACACCAGUGGCGAAAGCGGCUUCCUGGUCCAGCACCGACGUUCAGGCACGAAAGCGUGGGGGAGCAAACAGG
rnacentral:rRNA from 1 species